rnacentral:rRNA from 1 species
UACGUAGGGUGCAAGCGUUGUCCGGAAUUAUUGGGCGUAAAGAGCUCGUAGGCGGUCUGUCACGUCGGCUGUGAAAACCCGGGGCUCAACCCCGGGCCUGCAGUCGAUACGGGCAGACUAGAGUUCGGUAGGGGAGUCUGGAAUUCCUGGUGUAGCGGUGAAAUGCGCAGAUAUCAAGAGGAACACCGGUGGCGAAGGCGGGACUCUGGGCCGAUACUGACGCUGAGGAGCGAAAGCAUGGGGAGCGAACAGG